UACGAAGGGGGCUAGCGUUGCUCGGAAUCACUGGGCGUAAAGGGUGCGUAGGCGGGUCUUUAAGUCAGGGGUGAAAUCCUGGAGCUCAACUCCAGAACUGCCUUUGAUACUGAAGAUCUUGAGUCCGGGAGAGGUGAGUGGAACUGCGAGUGUAGAGGUGAAAUUCGUAGAUAUUCGCAAGAACACCAGUGGCGAAGGCUGCUCACUGGCCCGGUACUGACGCUGAGGCACGAAAGCGUGGGGAGCAAACAGG
rnacentral:rRNA from 1 species